rnacentral:snoRNA from 1 species
UGGGUUCCUGGGGGGUGGACUCAGCCUAUUCCACCUCCCUCAGCUGAGCCUAGAGUAGAGGGGCCAGGCCUCCUCCCCGGGAAAGGCCUUUACAUAAGGAGCCUAGCCUGGGCUAUCCUAGCCUCACAUUU